GUCUGAAACUUGGCAUGGAAAGUUCUUUUUAGGGAAAUAGAAGCUACGUACUCCAUCGAGGAAGCCUCCUACUCCUACCACGCCCCUGCCGAAGAAGAUUCCAGCUCUGAGGCCCUUCGGCUUAUCCAUGGACCGGUUCAACAGGCUCGCCACCAUGCGGGAUUUCUCCGUGGUCUCGGAGCUCGCCGCCUUCGGCAGCUGCUUGCGGAAGGUGACGCUGAUCGAAGUUCCAGUCCAAGAUAGGAGCACAACUGCUUCCCUGUCAAGCUCGCCAAGUUCAUCGUGAAGCUUUCGGGUGUACAAGUGGGGAGACGUGCUGGUUACCUAGUUUGGUACGUUGGUAGGUUGGUCCGUCCGACCAACGUCCCUCCCCUCCACGCGCACUGGAGCAAAUCACGCGCUGGAGCAAACUACUACUUAAUCGUGUAGAGUUAAGGAAACCAAGAGAUUGAAAACUUCCAUCUUUACAACCAAUCAAUGGAAACAUCAAUCAAUCACGUCAUUCUCUCGCGAUUACACCCAAUCCCCAGAAAACCUCCAUCUUUACAACCAAUCUCCACUGCCGCGAUUACACCCCAUCCCCAGAAAAGCUCAAACCUGCCUUCUUCCUCGCGGGAAGCCAUCGCCAGGGCUGCUAAUUGCCAGAAAAAACAUCGUACACCAAGUUACCAGAGCUGCCGCUUUUACUUCCAGACCGUUGAUUAUCUCCAGAGCUGCCACGUACACCAAAAAACGUCACCAGAGCUGCUGCGAUUACCUCCAGAGAGUUUGGUGUACUGCCUUCUUUCUCAAGACCCCGAGCAGUGCCGCUCGCCCUUGUUCCCUCCAGGCGUCGACGACCUGGCCACAUCAAUCAACUGACGGUAUUUAAAGCACUGGGACAAGGUUCGGUACACCAUGUCUAAUCAACCACGAAGGCGUCCUACUAAAUCGCAGUCGGAAAACGAAAAUUCAGGUUUCAAAGCUAUACAAAUUUUUAUUUCUCAUUUAAAUGGGUUACUGUUUGUAUGACAAAGGCAGAAUUAUCAUUUUGCUCUUAACAGAAAACUGCAAGUCAGUUUUUAUCUAUCAGCACAUCAAUGAAACUGUGAAAGCUAUGAGACAAUGGCAAAAUUAUCUUACUGCUCUUAACAUG